rnacentral:tRNA from 1 species
GCCGAAGUGGCGGAACUGGCAGACGCGCUGGACUCAAAAUCCAGUGAGCCGCGAGGUUCGUGUCGGUUCGAUCCCGACCUUCGGCACCA